rnacentral:lncRNA from 1 species
CCGACGAUUUUAUUGUUAAUUAGGCUAGUCUAUUUGGUUAAAGAAUUAGACUUAUUUAAAGUGUUGCAUUGUCUCUAAAGAACUCUUUAGUUAGUGUGUUCUAUGAGUUUGUACCCUAUAAAAGGGAAGUACUUUUUAUUUUGAAGUAAUUAAGAAUUUGGUUACAAAAAUCCAAACGGAUUUAAGGUUGCAGCAACCCAAAUUUCCAGACUUUUAUUGUUCUAUUGAAUCCUCUUAGGAUCUGCAGCCCCCAUCUCCAACUCUGCUUUUAUUAGUGGUGCUUUCAACUCCUCCUACCGGCAUGGUGCUACUUCUGUCCUGUAACUCCAAGUUAUCUGCAGAAGAUCAUCAGAAGAAGGAUUAGUAUUCCUUGAAAAUAAUGAAAAAAAUCUCCAAAGCGUGUUCUGUGCUAAACAGAUCCACGACAGGGACGUACCCUACUCUCUAUUUACAAUAUUAAACACAUAUUGAAUAGAUCUAUCAUUGCAGAUCUAGGGGGAAAAAAGAAGAAAAGAAAAAAAAAGCAAGAGGAUUUGUAUUCCUAAAAAUACUAACCAACUCUUUAAAAGCGUGUUCUGUUCUUAACAGAUCCGUUAAAGGGACGUAUCUAUCUACCCUAAUACAUUCUUACUAUAAUUCUUAUUCAAAAAUAAAAAAUUUAUUUCAGAUUUCAUAAUUUUGAGAUGGCUGAACCAGUUGAGACCCAACUCAAGAGGCUUCAAAUCAAACAAGAUACAGAGGCGGAGAGAAUGAGAAAUAUGAAACUUACCUUAAUUAGCAAAGAUAAAUGAAUCUCUAAUGUUGCUGAGUAAUCCAGAAGCUCAAACACAAUUGAAGUCUGACCAGAGAUCUAAAUCAAUUAGGACUGAAAUGCCAAAAUUUGAUGGAGAAAAUGUCCAAGGAUGGAUCUACAAAGCAAAGAAAUAUUUGAGAUAUCAUAAUAUUCCUGAUGAAAAAAGAAUUACUGUUGCUACCUUCAAUAUGGAAGGUGAAGUUCUGGAGUGGCUCUUAUGGGUUGAUAAUAACAAUGCCUUGAAGUCAUGGUCUGACUUCCUAAAUGACCUGAUUAAAAGAUUCGGAACUGCUGCAUAUGAAAUCCCUGCUGGAAGGCUGAGCAAACUGACUUAAACUGAAACUGUAAAAGAAUAUCAACACAAGUUUGAGACACUAGCCAAUAAGGUAACUGAUAUUACUCCAAAUACCUUAAAAGAAAUGUUUAUGUCAGGUUUAAAAUUAGAAAUCCAGAAGGAUGUGAUCAGAGCAAGACCUGAAAAUUUAGUGGAGGCUUUUGCCUUGGCUCAAUUAUAUGAAAGAACUGAUAUGUCAACUGAUAUUGUGAGAUACUUCCCACCUUCAAGCUCUACUGAAAUUAUAUCUCUCCCAACACAGAGCAAUGUUAUUCAGCCAUUUAUACCACCUCACAAAAAACAUUUGCCUUAACCAACACAUCUUUCAAUAAACCUCCUAACCUGAGACAGAAGUUGACACCAGCUGAAAUGAGAAUCAAGAGAUCGAAAAAUGAAUGUUUUAAUUACACAGAGAAAUGGGAAAAAGGGCAUAGAUGCAAAGGAAGAUUAUUCCUUUUAUCUGUUGAUGGUGAGAAUUUUGCUGAAUUCACAGAUCCUAAUGAGGACGAAGAGCAGUUUGUAGAUGUUGUAGAAGAAAUUCGAGCUUAGCACACUCAUAUCAGUUAUCACUCCUUACAAGGGCAGCUAAGUUCUAGGACCCUGAGGCUAUCAGCCAACAUUAAUAAUUUGAGGGUAUCUGUAUUAUUAGACUCUGGAUCAACCCAUAACUUUCUUCAAGAGGAAGUAGCCAGACAUUUGAUGCUUCCUAUCACACCCAUUCCUUCUUUCUUAGUCUCAACAGGAAGUGGUGUAUCUCUCUGAUGUGACAAAAUGUGUAAGCAUAUAAGAAUGACAGUUCAAGAUGUGUCCAUGAUGAUUGAUAUGUUUAUUUUAAAUAUGGAGGGAGCUAAUUUAGUUUUGGGUAUUCAAUGGUUCAAAACUGUUGGUUCUGUGUUAUCAAAUUAUGUGGAUAUGAAUAUUGAAUUCAAUUGGGAAGGGAAAAAAAUUAAAUGGGUGGGCAAACAAUUACUAUCAGAUGAUUCACUCUCAAAGAAUGAAAUGAAUGCAUUGGUUGUCUCUACUGUGGGAGCUUUUUUCUGCAGAUUUGAGUAUGUAGAGUCUAGUGAGGAAGAGAAAAAUACAAAUUCUGACCAGGCUGAAUUAACAGAAUAUUUGGGGAAGUUUAAAGAUAUUUUUGAAGAGCCUAUUGGGUUACCAUCUCCUAGAAGUCAACACCAUAACAUUACUCUGGAAUAUUCAACAAAUCCAGUCAAUGUUAGGCCAUACAGACAGACUCAAUUUCAGAAGGAUGAAAUUGAGAGAAUAAUUCAAGAAAUGUUGAAGCAACAGAUUGUCAGAGAAAGUAGAAGCCCUUACUCAUCUCCUGUAUUACUAGUAAAAAAAAGAGAUGGGAGUUGGAGACUCUGUGUUGACUACAGAGCCUUAAACAAAAUUACAGUAAAGACAGAUUCCCUAUCCCAACAGUGGAUGAAAUUCUAACUGAGUUAAAGGGAGCCCGUAUUUUUUCUAAACUUGAUCUAAGGUCGGGUUACCAUCAAAUCCUAGUUAAUCCAAAGGAUGUGGAAAAAACUGCCUUCAGAACACACAAUGGACACUAUGAAUUUUUAGUGAUGCCCUUUGGGCUCACUAAUGCACCAGCUACAUUCCAGGCUACCAUGAACAGAAUUUUUGCACCAUUCUUGAGAAAAUUUGUUUUAGUUUUUUUUGAUGAUAUCUUGGUUUUCAGCUCAUCCAAGGAAAACCACAAAAGCCACCUAAAUUCAGUAUUAUUAACAAUGAAGGAAAAUCAGCUUUAUGCCAAACAGUCCAAGUGCCUUUUUUUUCAAAAAACACUACAAUUCCUUGGGCACAUUAUUUCAGGGCAAGGAGUAACACCAGAUCCCGAUAAGAUAUCUGCCAUCUUAAACUGGCCAGUCCCAAAAAAUGUCAAAGGCUUAAGAGGAUUCUUAGGAAUUUCAGGUUACUACAGGAAAUUUGUGAGAAACUACUCACAUAUUACAACCCCAAUGAAUGAUCUUCUUAAAAAAGUUCAAUUCUGUUGGAAUGAAGCAACUGAAAAAAGUUUCCUAACUCUGAAGGAAACUAUGACAUCCACUUCAGUGCUAACACAUCCAGAUUUUUCAAAACCAUUCUCCAUUGAAACAGGUGUAUGCCAAGGUGGUUUGGGAGCAGUAUUAAGUCAAGAAGGACAUCCCGUAGCCUUUUUCAGUUCAAAAAUUUCAAAAAGAAUGCUUUUAGCUUCCACUUAUGCCAAGGAGAUGCUAGCAAUAACUCAAGCAGUGGCCAAAUGGAGGCAUUACUUGCUAGGACACCACUUUGUGAUUCAUACUGACCACCAAAGUAUUAAAAAUAUGUUGAAUCAGAUUAUCCAAACACCUGACCAGCAAAAGUUUUUGUGUCAACUACUAGGAUUUGACUAUUCUAUCAAAUACAAGCCUGGCAAGGAGAGCAAGGCAGCUGAUGCCCUAUCUAGACAAUUUGAAGAAGAAAUUCAGGAAGGAUCAAUUCUGAGUUUAUGUGCAUUUGUUAGUAAACUGGUAAAAAAAAUAGUGGAAGAACAAUCCAUAAAACUAGAAUUAAUAACCAUGAUUAAUAGCAUAAAUAAUGGUCUGCAGAAGAGCUCUGAAUUUUCAGUAAGGGAUGGUCUUUUGUUGAAGAAUGGGAGGUAUGUUAUUUCUUCUACAUCUCUUUUAAUUUAUGAUAUCUUAAGGGAAUAUCAUGUUAGUGUAAUUGGGGGUCACUCUGGUAUCGAGAGAACCAUUAAAAGAAUCAAAUUACAGUUCUGGUGGCAAAGAAUGGUCAAACAAAUCAAACAUUAUGUUGAGAAUUGUAUAGUUUGCCAGAGAAUGAAAUCAGCAACAAAAAAGCCCCAAGGACUUCUAAUGCCUCUACCUACCCCAAUGGCAGUAUGGCAAGAUUUAUCUACAGAUUUUAUCACUAAUUUACCUCAAGUGAAGGGUAAAACAGUCAUAGUGGUGGACAGAUUGUCUAAGUUUUGUCACUUGGGAGCUCUACCAUCAGAUUUUACUUCCAAAAUAGUAGCUGCAUUUUUUGAACAGAAUAUUAUAAAACUUCAUGGGAUUCCUUCUUCCAUAGUCUCAGAUAGAGACAAGGUAUUUACAAGUAGCUUCUGGAAAGAGAUUAACAGGUUAAGUGGCACUACCCUAAAACUAUCUUCUGCCUAUCACCCAGAGACAGAUGGUCAAACAGAAGUUGUAAACAGAGGAAUUGAAAUGUUUUUAAGAUGCUUAGUACACGAACAACCCAAAAAAGUGGUUGCAAUUACUCCCAUGGGCAGAGCUAUGACAUAACUCUACCUUCAAUGUAUCAAUUGGGAUGACACCCUUCAUGGCCUUGUAUGGUAAGGAAGCCAAUUCUUUCGCUGAAGUGAUAAGGGGAGAAUCAACAAAUUUAGACGCUGAAGAAGAAUUAAUGAGAAGGCAAGAAAUCAUUGAACUAGUCAAGUCCAACGUACAUGGAAAGAGCUAAAGAAAGAAUGAAGAGACAUGUUGAUAAGCACCGGGAAAACAUUGAAUUCGAGGAAGGUGACUGGGUACUGGUGAGAUUGAAACCCUAUAGGCAACUAUCAGUGGCUCAUAGAUUACAUCAUAAAUUAUCAGCAAGAUACUAUAGUCCUUACAAAAUUGCUAAGAAAAUCAGUCCUGUCGCAUACAAAGUAAAACUGCCUAAUUAUUGUUUAAUUCAUAAUGUAUUUCAUAUUAGUAUGCUGAAAAAGCUAAAGGGAGAAAUACCUGAGGAAGAGAUAAGAGCUUUACCGAAGCUCUCUGUAAAUGGUGAUCCUGUGAUUUACCCGAAAGAACUGUUGGAGAAAAGAAUUUUGCUGUCCAAAGGAAAGAAUAUUGAAGAAAUCAGAGUUAAAUGGACAGGAUUAGACAAAAAUGAAACAUCAUGGGAAGAAAUAGAUACCUUGAAGAGAUUGUAUCCAUCCUUUAACCUUGAGGACAAGGUCGAAGUUGAGAAGGGGGGGAGGUGAUAGAGUGGACCGGAACUGCGCUGGAGCACUGAAAGAUUCGUCGUUGUCUGUUAACAUCAGAGGAACAGAGCUCGUCGGAGGAGAUCGCGCCAUCCAGAGCCCUGAAGUUAUCGGUUGUUCAGCAAAGAAGAACAAGCCCGCCAUCCAGAGCCCUUGAAGAGAUUUUUAUUUUAUUUUUAAAGGCGAUUUUUAUAAAGUAAAAUUAAAAUAGUACAAAGGAUAAAAAGAAAACAUAAUGAUAAACGAAAAAAACUGAAAACAUAGCGCGAAUCUCCAUCCUGUCGAUCUAUGACCAACUUCGGAUCGCGUUUCCAGGUUGAAAUAACUCCCGCCUGAAACUUUUAAAACCUUUAAAGAGUUUCCAUACUUGUCUUUAUCUUUUUUUAUCCCUGCAACUGUCAUCUUUUUUUUCAAUCAUCUUUCCCAUCUAAUAACCCAUCACAUUUUCUCUUCCAUUUUCUAGAUUGCAUUUGUCAUCCGACGAUAUAACCUCUUGAUUUUCUUUCUAGAUUAAAUCCCUAGUUUUCCAUCCUCAAACGGGAAGAAAAUUGGUUAAAUCUGAAAGUAACUCAGAACGGAAUCGAGAAAGCUUCUUGGUCUGCGGGCGAGGCCAUACGGCGACAAGGAGAAGUGGCUAGAAGCUUUCUUCCCCUCCUCUGAACCCGAAAAGGAGCCACGGAAUCACGACCAUAAAAGAAAUAGAAAAGAAUCGAAUAAGUUUCAAGAGGCAAAAAGAAGUUGAGAGAUAGGGAGUUGUGGGUGAGGAUCUAAGACGACGACCUACAACGGGGAGGAAGAACGGUGGAAAAAGGCAUGAAAGGGGGAAGAGGGAAAGAGCUUGUCUCCCCCCUCUCUUUUGAGAAAGGGGGGAGAUCAGAGGUGGCGUUAGGGUUUCUUUUGAGAAGGGGUGGGAAUUUUCUGGGGAUUAAUAAUAUUAUCAGUUUGAU